rnacentral:rRNA from 1 species
UACGUAGGGUGCAAGCGUUAAUCGGAAUUACUGGGCGUAAAGCGUGCGCAGGCGGUGAUGUAAGACAGUUGUGAAAUCCCCGGGCUCAACCUGGGAACUGCAUCUGUGACUGCAUCGCUGGAGUACGGUAGAGGGGAGUGGAAUUCCGCGUGUAGCAGUGAAAUGCGUAGAUAUGCGGAGGAACACCGAUGGCGAAGGCAAUCCCCUCGGACGUCGUACUGACGCUCAUGCACGAAAGACGUGGGG